UCUUGGUCAUUUAGAGGAAGUAAAAGUCGUAACAAGGUCUCCGUAGGUGAACCUGCGGAGGGAUCAUUACAGAGAACAUCGCCCUCACAGGGGUGACUCUCCAACCCUAUGUUAUUUAAACCUUUGUUGCUUUGGCGAGCCGCUUCGGCCACCGGCUCUUGCUGGUGCGCGCUCGCCAGAGGACCACAAACUCUGUUUAUUAGUGUCGUCUGAGUACUAUAUAAUAGUUAAAACUUUCAACAACGGAUCUCUUGGUUCUGGCAUCGAUGAAGAACGCAGCGAAAUGCGAUAAGUAAUGUGAAUUGCAGAAUUCAGUGAAUCAUCGAAUCUUUGAACGCACAUUGCGCCCCGUGGUAUUCCGCGGGGCAUGCCUGUUCGAGCGUCAGUACAACACUCAAGCUCUGCUUGGUAUUGGACCGCAUCAGUUCUGAUCGGUCUUAAAAUCAGUGGCGGUGCCAUCGUGCUCUAAGCGUAGUAAUACUUCUCGCUACAGGGUCUCGGUGCGUGCUUGCCAGCAACCUCCAACUUUCUAAGUUUGACCUCGGAUCAGGUAGGGAUACCCGCUGAACUUAAGCAUAUCAAUAAGCGGAGGA
rnacentral:rRNA from 1 species